rnacentral:rRNA from 1 species
GACAGAGGGUGCAAACGUUGCUCGGAAUUACUGGGCGUAAAGCGCGUGUAGGUGGAUUGGUGUGUCAGAUGUGAAAUCCCUGGGCUCAACCCAGGAACUGCACCUGAAACUACCAGUCUUGAGUGGUGGAGAGGGAAGUGGAAUUCCUGGUGUAGAGGUGAAACUCGUAGAUAUCAGGAGGAACACCAGUGGCGAAGGCGGCUUCCUGGACACCAACUGACGCUGAGACGCGAAAGCGUGGGGAGCAAACAGG